CUACGGGGGGCACCAGUGAGGAAUAUUGCACAAUGGGGGGAACCCUGAUGCAGCAACGCCGCGUGGAGGAUGACGCAUUUCGGUGUGUAAACUCCUUUUAUAUGUCAAGAAAAUGACGGUAGCAUAUGAAUAAGCACCGGCUAACUCCGUGUCAGCAGCCGCGGUAAUACGGAGGGUGCAAGCGUUACUCGGAAUCACUGGGCGUAAAGGACGCGUAGGCGGGUUGGAAAGUCAGGUGUGAAAUCCUACAGCUCAACUGUAGAACUGCACUUGAAACUUCUAAUCUAGAGUAUGGGAGGGGGAGAUGGAAUUAGUGGUGUAGGGGUAAAAUCCGUAGAUAUCACUAGGAAUACCUAAAGCGAAGGCGAUCUCCUGGAACAUUACUGACGCUAAGGUGUGAAAGCGUGGGGAGCAAACAGGAUUAGAUACCCGUGUAGUC
rnacentral:rRNA from 1 species